rnacentral:rRNA from 1 species
UGGUCAAGUUAUUAAGGGUGCAGGGCGGAUGCCUUGGCACUAGGAGCCGAUGAAGGACGUGAUAAGCUGCGAUAAGCUUCGGGGAGUUGCACGUAAACUUUGAUCCGAAGAUUUCCGAAUGAGGAAACUCACUUAGAGUAAUGUCUAAGUAUCAUUAAGUGAAUACAUAGCUUAAUGAGGGGAACUCAGGGAACUGAAACAUCUAAGUACCUGAAGGAAGAGAAAGAAAUUCGAUUCCGUAAGUAGCGGCGAGCGAACGCGGAUUAGCCCAAACCAAUAAAGUUUUCUUUAUUGGGGUUGCGGACAUAUCAUAACGAAGAGGUAUCGUAAUUGAAGAGGUUUGGAAAGACCCACCACAGAAGGUAAUAGUCCUGUAUGUUAAACGAGAAGACUUCAGAUAUGAUCCAGAGUACCACGGGACACGUGAAACCCUGUGGGAAGCAGGAGGGACCACCCUCCAAGGCUAAAUACUACCUAGUGACCGAUAGCGUAUAGUACCGUGAGGGAAAGGUGAAAAGAACCCCGGGAGGGGAGUGAAAUAGAACCUGAAACCCUGCACUUACAAGCUGUGGAAGCACAUUUCUUGUGUGACCGCGUACUUUUUGUAGAACGGGCCAACGAGUUACGUUAAGUAGCAAGGUUAAGCACUUAAGGUGCGGAGCCGUAGCGAAAGCGAGUUUUAACUGAGCGUUCAGUUACUUGACGUAGACCCGAAACCGGGCGACCUACCCAUGAGCAGGAUGAAGCGAAAGUAAAAUUUCGUGGAGGUCCGAACCCACGAGCGUUGAAAAGCUCGGGGAUGACUUGUGGGUAGCGGUGAAAUUCCAAUCGAGCCCGGAGAUAGCUGGUUCUCCCCGAAAUAGCUUUAGGGCUAGCCUCAAGGUGAGAGAUACGGAGGUAGAGCACUGAAUGUCCUAGGGGGUAUUGCACCUACCGAAGACUAUCAAACUCCGAAUGCCGUCAUCUUAUACUUGGGAGUCAGACUGUGGGUGAUAAGAUUCAUAGUCGAAAGGGCAACAGCCCAGAUCGUCAGCUAAGGUCCCUAAAUGUAAGUUAAGUGGUAAAGGAUGUGGGAUUGCACAGACAACCAGGAUGUUGGCUUAGAAGCAGCCACUCAUUCAAAGAGUGCGUAAUAGCUCACUGGUCGAGUGAUCCUGCGCCGAAGAUUUCCGGGGCUAAAACUUACUACCGAAGCUACGGCAUCAGUAAUGAUGGGUAGGGGAGCUUCCCAUACGGGUUGAAGCAUGACCGUAAGGACAUGUGGACAGUAUGGGAGUGAGAAUGUUGGCAUGAGUAGCGAGAUGUGGGUGAGAAUCCCACAGGCCGUAAACCCAAGGUUUCCAGGGGAAGGUUCGUCCGCCCUGGGUUAGUCGGGACCUAAGCUGAGGCCGAAAGGCGUAGGUGAUGGACAACAGGUUGAUAUUCCUGUACUACCGAUAACCGUUUGAGAGAAGGGAUGACACAGUAGGAUAAGCUAAGCACACUGUUGGUUAUGUGUGCCCAAGCAUUGAGGCAGUCAAAGUAGGCAAAUCCGCUUUGAUAAUGCUGGGAUGUGAUGGGGAGCGAAAUUUAGUAGCGAAGUAGCUGAUUUCACACUGUCAAGAAAAGUCUCUAUCGAGGUUAAAGGUACCCGUACCGCAAACCGACACAGGUGGGUGAGGAGAGUAUCCUAAGGCCAGCGAGAGAACUGUUGUUAAGGAACUCGGCAAAAUGACCCCGUAACUUAGGGAUAAGGGGUGCCACCAUCAGGUGGCCGCAGAGAAUAGGCCCAAGCGACUGUUUACCAAAAACAUAGGUUUCUGCUAAGUCGCAAGACGAUGUAUAGGAGCUGACGCCUGCCCGGUGCUGGAAGGUUAAGGGGAUCUGUUAGAGCAAUCGAAGCAGUGAACUUAAGCCCCAGUAAACGGCGGCCGUAACUAUAACGGUCCUAAGGUAGCGAAAUUCCUUGUCGGGUAAGUUCCGACCCGCACGAAAGGCGUAACGAUUUGGGCACUGUCUCAACAACAGACUCGGUGAAAUUGUAAUUCCGGUGAAGAUGCCGGAUACCUGCGACAGGACGGAAAGACCCCAUGGAGCUUUACUGUAGCUUGACAUUGGGUCUUGGUACUACAUGUACAGGAUAGGUGGGAGGCUUUGAAACCAGGACGCCAGUUUUGGCGGAGCCAUCCUUGGGAUACCACCCUUGUAGUACUGGGACUCUAACCAUAGGCCAUGAAUCUGGUCUUGGGACACUGUCAGGUGGGCAGUUUGACUGGGGCGGUCGCCUCCCAAAAGGUAACGGAGGCGCUCAAAGGUUCUCUCAGUACGGUCGGAAAUCGUACGUAGAGUGUAAAGGCAAAAGAGAGCUUGAUUGCAAGACAUACAGGUCGAGCAAGGAUGAAAAUCGGACUUAGUGAUCCGGUGGUUCUGCGUGGAAGGGCCAUCGCUCAACGGAUAAAAGCUACCCUGGGGAUAACAGGCUUAUCUCCCCCAAGAGUCCACAUCGACGGGGAGGUUUGGCACCUCGAUGUCGGCUCAUCACAUCCUGGGGCUGUAGUAGGUCCCAAGGGUUGGGCUGUUCGCCCAUUAAAGUGGUACGCGAGCUGGGUUCAGAACGUCGUGAGACAGUUCGGUCCCUAUCCGUCGCAGGCGUAGGAAAUUUGAGAAGACCUGUCCUUAGUACGAGAGGACCGGGAUGGACGUACCUCUGGUGUACCAGUUGU